rnacentral:ncRNA from 1 species
UUUGACUCAACACGGGGAAACUUACCAGGUCCAGACAUAGUAAGGAUUGACAGAUUGAUAGCUCUUUCUUGAUUCUAUUGGUGGUGGUGCAUGGCCGUUCUUAGUUGGUGGAGUGAUUUGUCUGGUUAAUUCCGUUAAUGCAAGCACGAAGUAGCUGCAGAAGCACUUAUGAUGGGAGCUUUGCUCGUGGGCGUUCACCUGAGCUUGGGCCUUCGCCUUUCGAGGCACACACUCUUGGAUGCGCUGAACAACGUGGAUGACGACCUGAUGCGUGCGUGCUCAGGGC